rnacentral:rRNA from 1 species
AGAGUUUGAUCAUGGCUCAGAACGAGCGCUGGCGGCGUGGAUAAGACAUGCAAGUCGAACGCUGAUUAGAGGGUAGCAAUAUUUUCUAGUCGGAGUGGCGCAAGGGUGCGUAACACGUGGGUAAUCUGCCGUGAAGCCUGGGAUAACUCGCUGAAAGGCGAGCUAAUACCGGAUGUGACUGUUGGGAGGCAUUUUCCGACAUUCAGAGCUGGGGACUGUAACAGGCCUGGCACUUCAUGAUGAGCCCGCGGCCUAUCAGCUAGUUGGUGAGGUAACGGCUCACCAAGGCUAAGACGGGUAGCUGGUCUGAGAGGACGACCAGCCACACUGGAACUGAGACACGGUCCAGACACCUACGGGUGGCAGCAGUCGAGAAUUUUUCACAAUGGGCGAAAGCCUGAUGGAGCGACGCCGCGUGGGGGAUGAAGGGCUUCGAUCCGUAAACCCCUGUCAUUUGCGAACAAACCUUAUGGGUGAACAACUCAUGAGCUGAUUGUAGCGAAAGAGGAAGGGACGGCUAACUCUGUGCCAGCAGCCGCGGUAAUACAGAGGUCCCAAGCGUUGUUCGGAUUCACUGGGCGUAAAGGGUGCGUAGGUGGCCAGGUAAGUUUGAUGUGAAAGCUCGGAGCUUAACUCCGAAAUGGCAUUGAAUACUCUCUGGCUAGAGGUUUGGAGGGGAGACUGGAAUUCUCGGUGUAGCAGUGAAAUGCGUAGAUAUCGAGAGGAACACCGGUGGCGAAGGCGAGUCUCUGGACAACACCUGACACUGAGGCACGAAAGCUAGGGGAGCAAACAGGAUUAGAUACCCUAGUAGUCC